UGGGACUGCCGGUGACAAACCGGAGGAAGUGGGGAUGACGUCAAGUCCUCAUUGGCCCUUAUAGGUGGGGCUACACACGUCAUACAAUGGACCGGUACAGAGGGUAGCCAACCCGCGAGGGGAGCCAAUCCCACAAAGCCGGUCGUAGUCCGGAUCGCAGUCUGCAACUCGACUGCGUGAAGUCGGAAUCGCUAGUAAUCGCGGAUCAGCAUGUCGCGGUGAAUACGUUCCCGGGUCCUU
rnacentral:rRNA from 1 species